UACGAGGGGGGCGAGCGUUGUUCGGAGUUACUGGGCGUAAAGGGUGCGUAGGCGGCUUUUUAAGUUUGGUGUGAAAUCUCCCGGCUCAACUGGGAGGGUGCGCCGAAUACUGAGAGGCUAGAGUGUGGGAGAGGAAAGUGGAAUUCCUGGUGUAGCGGUGAAAUGCGUAGAUAUCAGGAGGAACACCGGUGGUGUAAACGGCUUUCUGGACCAUAACUGACGCUGGAGACGCGAAAGCCGUGGGGAGCGAACCGG
rnacentral:rRNA from 1 species